rnacentral:rRNA from 1 species
UACAGAGGUCUCAAGCGUUGUUCGGAUUCAUUGGGCGUAAAGGGUGCGUAGGCGGCGCGGUAAGUCGGGUGUGAAAUCUUGGAGCUUAACUCCGAAACUGCAUUCGAUACUGCCGUGCUUGAGGACUGGAGAGGAGACUGGAAUUUACGGUGUAGCGGUGAAAUGCGUAGAUAUCGUAAGGAAGACCAGUGGCGAAGGCGGGUCUCUGGACAGUUCCUGACGCUGAGGCACGAAGGCCAGGGGGAGCAAAACGGGGAUUAGAA